rnacentral:rRNA from 1 species
ACGAACGCUGGCGGCGUGCUUCACACAUGCAAGUCGAACGGAAAGGCCCUGCUUUUGUGGGGUGCUCGAGUGGCGAACGGGUGAGUAACACGUGAGUAACCUGCCCUUGACUUUGGGAUAACUUCAGGAAACUGGGGCUAAUACCGGAUAGGAGCUCCUGCUGCAUGGUGGGGGUUGGAAAGUUUCGGCGGUUGGGGAUGGACUCGCGGCUUAUCAGCUUGUUGGUGGGGUAGUGGCUUACCAAGGCUUUGACGGGUAGCCGGCCUGAGAGGGUGACCGGCCACAUUGGGACUGAGAGACGGCCCAGACUCCUACGGGAGGCAGCAGUGGGGAAUAUUGCACAAUGGGUGGAAGCCUGAUGCAGCAACGCCGUGUGCGGGAUGACGGCCUUCGGGUUGUAAACCGCUUUCGCUCAUGACGAAGCUUUGUGUGACGGUAGUGGGUAAAGAAGCACCGGCUAACUACGUG